rnacentral:rRNA from 1 species
GAUGAACGCUGGCGGCGUGCCUAAUACAUGCAAGUCGAGCGAACGGACGAGAAGCUUGCUUCUCUGAUGUUAGCGGCGGACGGGUGAGUAACACGUGGAUAACCUACCUAUAAGACUGGGAUAACUUCGGGAAACCGGAGCUAAUACCGGAUAAUAUUUUGAACCGCAUGGUUCAAAAGUGAAAGACGGUCUUGCUGUCACUUAUAGAUGGAUCCGCGCUGCAUUAGCUAGUUGGUAAGGUAACGGCUUACCAAGGCAACGAUGCAUAGCCGACCUGAGAGGGUGAUCGGCCACACUGGAACUGAGACACGGUCCAGACUCCUACGGGAGGCAGCAGUAGGGAAUCUUCCGCAAUGGGCGAAAGCCUGACGGAGCAACGCCGCGUGAGUGAUGACGGUCUUCGGAUCGUAAAACUCUGUUAUUAGGGAAGAACAUAUGUGUAAGUAACUGUGCACAUCUUGACGGUACCUAAUCAGAAAGCCACGGCUAACUACGUG